rnacentral:rRNA from 1 species
CGUACACUCCUGCGGGAGGCAGCAGUGGGGAAUUUUGGACAAUGGGCGAAAGCCUGAUCCAGCCAUGCCGCGUGCAGGAUGAAGGCCUUCGGGUUGUAAACUGCUUUUGUACGGAACGAAACGGCCUUUUCUAAUAAAGAGGGCUAAUGACGGUACCGUAAGAAUAAGCACCGGCUAACUACGUGCCAGCAGCCGCGGUAAUACGUAGGGUGCAAGCGUUAAUCGGAAUUACUGGGCGUAAAGCGUGCGCAGGCGGUUAUGUAAGACAGUUGUGAAAUCCCCGGGCUCAACCUGGGAACUGCAUCUGUGACUGCAUAGCUAGAGUACGGUAGAGGGGGAUGGAAUUCCGCGUGUAGCAGUGAAAUGCGUAGAUAUGCGGAGGAACACCGAUGGCGAAGGCAAUCCCCUGGACCUGUACUGACGCUCAUGCACGAAAGCGUGGGGAGCAAACAGGAUUAGAUACCCCAGUAGUCCCAUGAU